rnacentral:rRNA from 1 species
UACGUAGGUGGCAAGCGUUGUCCGGAUUUACUGGGCGUAAAGAGCGCGCAGGCGGUCGUUCAAGUCGCGUGUGAAAGCCCCCCGGCUCAACUGGGGAGGUCACGCGAUACUGAUCGACUCGAAGGCAGGAGAGGGUAGUGGAAUUCCCGGUGUAGUGGUGAAAUGCGUAGAUAUCGGGAGGAACACCAGUGGCGAAGGCGACUACCUGGCCUGUUCUUGACGCUGAGGCGCGAAAGCUAGGGGAGCGAACAGG